rnacentral:rRNA from 1 species
AACCUUUACUAUAGCUUGACACUGAACAUUGAGCCUUGAUGUGUAGGAUAGGUGGGAGGCUUUGAAGUGUGGACGCCAGUCUGCAUGGAGCCGACCUUGAAAUACCACCCUUUAAUGUUUGAUGUUCUAACGUGGACCCGUAAUCCGGGUUGCGGACAGUGUCUGGUGGGUAGUUUGACUGGGGCGGUCUCCUCCUAAAGAGUAACGGAGGAGCACGAAGGUUGGCUAAUCCUGGUCGGACAUCAGGAGGUUAGUGCAAUGGCAUAAGCCAGCUUGACUGCGAGCGUGACGGCGCGAGCAGGUGCGAAAGCAGGUCAUAGUGAUCCGGUGGUUCUGAAUGGAAGGGCCAUCGCUCAACGGAUAAAAGGUACUCCGGGGAUAACAGGCUGAUACCGCCCAAGAGUUCAUAUCGACGGCGGUGUUUGGCACCUCGAUGUCGGCUCAUCACAUCCUGGGGCUGAAGUAGGUCCCAAGGGUAUGGCUGUUCGCCAUUUAAAGUGGUACGCGAGCUGGGUUUAGAACGUCGUGAGACAGUUCGGUCCCUAUCUGCCGUGGGCGCUGGAGAACUGAGGGGGGCUGCUCCUAGUACGAGAGGACCGGAGUGGACGCAUCACUGGUGUUCGGGUUGUCAUGCCAAUGGCACUGCCCGGUAGCUAAAUGCGGAAGAGAUAAGUGCUGAAAGCAUCUAAGCACGAAACUUGCCCCGAGAUGAGUUCUCCCUGACUCCUUGAGAGUCCUGAAGGAACGUUGAAGACGACGACGUUGAUAGGCCGGGUGUGUAAGCGCAGCGAUGCGUUGAGCUAACCGGUACUAAUGAACCGUGAGGCUUAACCUUACAACGCCGAAGCUGUU